AAUGGAAGCUGCAGGAAACAACCAUGUGGGCAAAUGAAAAAAAAAAAAUCUUUUGUCUACACAAUGCAGCGAUCCUACAGAAACAUGGAGGUCUCUGUCUGGCUUAGGACAGCUGACUAAGUCAGAUCGUUCCCCUCCAUACAAC
rnacentral:snoRNA from 1 species